ensembl:snRNA U1 U1 spliceosomal RNA
AUACUUACCCGGUAGGGGAGAUACCAUGAUCACAAAGGUGGUUUUCUCAGGGUGAAGCUCAUCCAUUGCACUGUGGAUGUGCUAACCCCCGUGAUUUCCCCACAUGUGGAAUAUGACUGCAUAAAUUGUGGUAGUGGGGGACUGUGUUUGUGCCUUCCUCUG